rnacentral:snRNA from 1 species
UUUAUGAUGAAUACAUAAGAUAA